rnacentral:rRNA from 1 species
GUGGGGAAUAUUGGACAAUGGGCGAAAGCCUGAUCCAGCAAUGCCGCGUGAGUGAUGAAGGCCUUAGGGUUGUAAAGCUCUUUUACCCGGGAUGAUAAUGACAGUACCGGGAGAAUAAGCUCCGGCUAACUCCGUGCCAGCAGCCGCGGUAAUGCGGAGGGAGCUAGCGUUGUUCGGAAUUACUGGGCGUAAAGCGCACGUAGGCGGCUUUGUAAGUUAGAGGUGAAAGCCUGGAGCUUAACUCCAGAACUGCCUUUAAGACUGCAUCGCUUGAAUCCAGGAGAGGUGAGUGGAAUUCCGAGUGUAGAGGUGAAAUUCGUAGAUAUUCGGAAGAACACCAGUGGCGAAGGCGGCUCACUGGACUGGUAUUGACGCUGAGGUGCGAAAGCGUGGGGAGCAAACAGGAUUAGAUACCCGGGUAGUCC